AUGUAAUCUCUCACACAAUGAGUAUGUUUGUCUUCACAGAACCAAUGAUUUAUCUAAAUCCAUAUUAUCAUAAAAUAAAAGGGGAGCUGCAAUGGUGAGGGGUGCACCACAACUGUUGUAAGGCGGCUUCGGAAGCAUUUUCAGGCUGAAACAGAUUGCUGCGGAAGAAGAAGAAGCUCCUAUCAACAAAGCUUGGCAAUAACCAGACCCCUCUGAGUGCUGGUAUGAGGAGGAGGAGGAGGGAUCCAGCAAGCCCAGGCACAUGAAGCUCAGAAUAAGAAACCACAAUGACACAGAGA